rnacentral:rRNA from 1 species
CAUGCAAGCCGAGCGGUAGAGAUUCUUCGGAAUCUUGAGAGCGGCGUACGGGUGCGGAACACGUGUGCAACCUGCCUUUAUCAGGGAGAUAGCCUUUCGAAAGGAAGAUUAAUACCCCAUAAUAUAUUAAGUGGCAUCACUUGAUAUUGAAAACUACGGUGGAUAGAGAUGGGCACGCGCAAGAUUAGAUAGUUGGUGAGGUAACGGCUCACCAAGUCUACGAUCUUUAGGGGGCCUGAGAGGGUGAUCCCCCACACUGGUACUGAGACACGGACCAGACUCCUACGGGAGGCAGCAGUGAGGAAUAUUGGACAAUGGGUGAAAGCCUGAUCCAGCCAUCCCGCGUGAAGGACGACGGCCCUAUGGGUUGUAAACUUCUUUUGUAUAGGGAUAAACCUAGAUACGUGUAUCUAGCUGAAGGUACUAUACGAAUAAGCACCGGCUAACUCCGUGCCAGCAGCCGCGGUAAUACGGAGGGUGCAAGCGUUAUCCGGAUUUAUUGGGUUUAAAGGGUCCGUAGGCGGAUCUGUAAGUCAGUGGUGAAAUCUCACAGCUUAACUGUGAAACUGCCAUUGAUACUGCAGGUCUUGAGUGUUGUUGAAGUAGCUGGAAUAAGUAGUGUAGCGGUGAAAUGCAUAGAUAUUACUUAGAACACCAAUUGCGAAGGCAGGUUACUAAGCAACAACUGACGCUGAUGGACGAAAGCGUGGGGAGCGAACAGGAUUAGAUACCCUGGUAGUCCACGCCGUAAACGAUGCUAACUCGUUUUUGGAUUUUCGGAUUCAGAGACUAAGCGAAAGUGAUAAGUUAGCCACCUGGGGAGUACGUUCGCAAGAAUGAAACUCAAAGGAAUUGACGGGGGCCCGCACAAGCGGUGGAUUAUGUGGUUUAAUUCGAUGAUACGCGAGGAACCUUACCAAGGCUUAAAUGGGAAAUGACAGGUUUAGAAAUAGACUUUUCUUCGGACAUUUUUCAAGGUGCUGCAUGGUUGUCGUCAGCUCGUGCCGUGAGGUGUUAGGUUAAGUCCUGCAACGAGCGCAACCCCUGUCACUAGUUGCCAUCAUUAAGUUGGGGACUCUAGUGAGACUGCCUACGCAAGUAGAGAGGAAGGUGGGGAUGACGUCAAAUCAUCACGGCCCUUACGCCUUGGGCCACACACGUAAUACAAUGGCCAGUACAGAGGGCAGCUACACAGCGAUGUGAUGCAAAUCUCGAAAGCUGGUCUCAGUUCGGAUUGGAGUCUGCAACUCGACUCUAUGAAGCUGGAAUCGCUAGUAAUCGCGCAUCAGCCAUGGCGCGGUGAAUACGUUCCCGGGCCUUGUACACACCGCCCGUCAAGCCAUGGAAGUCUGGGGUACCUGAAGUCGGUGACC